rnacentral:rRNA from 1 species
CUACGGGCCGCUCCAGUGAGGAAUAUUGCACAAUGGGGGGAACCCUGAUGCAGCAACGCCGCGUGGAGGAUGACGCAUUUCGGUGUGUAAACUCCUUUUAUAUGUCAAGAAAAUGACGGUAGCAUAUGAAUAAGCACCGGCUAACUCCGUGCCAGCAGCCGCGGUAAUACGGAGGGUGCAAGCGUUACUCGGAAUCACUGGGCGUAAAGGACGCGUAGGCGGGUUGGAAAGUCAGGUGUGAAAUCCUACAGCUUAACUGUAGAACUGCACUUGAAGCUUCUAAUCUAGAGUAUGGGAGGGGGAGAUGGAAUUAGUGGUGUAGGGGUAAAAUCCGUAGAUAUCACUAGGAAUACCUAAAGCGAAGGCGAUCUCCUGGAACAUUACUGACGCUAAGGCGUGAAAGCGUGGGGAGCAAACAGGAUUAGAUACCCUUGUAGUC